UUCAUAAAUUUCUCCAUUUUUAUUCCCAUGUCAAAUGAUGGGAAUCUUAUAUUCCCAUGGGAAUAUAAAAUAACCAACCAUAACUUCCCACUCUCAUGUUAUUUUAACACAUUUAUUUUUAAUUUUUUAAUUUUUAAAAUUUAAUUAAAUAAAACUUAAAAAUAUUCCUAGGAACUUUAUUGAUUUUGCCAAACACAUUGAUGGGAAUAAAGUUCCUGGCAAUACUAUUCCUAGGAAUGAUAUUCCCGGGAUUAUAAUUUUAAUCCAUCAAACAAACACACCCUAUGUGUUUUGUGUCUUACUUUUUUUUCGAAAAUGAUAUCUUCUUUCUUCCACUGCCUUUGUCUUCCGAUUCUUCUUUCUUCUCUUCUUCAACAAAAAUAAUCGGGUUGUGGGACAAUUUACAGAAAUAUAGAAAUCAAAGUUUUUUAGGGUUUAUGCUCUAUUGUUUUGACCUAAGAUUGUUGGUGUUGCAUGAAUGGGGAAGAUGGCGGCGACUAUGAUGUUUCCGGCGAUUUUAUAGCGAUAUGUGGUAUCGCGGUGGUAGAUCUGUGGUGGAUCUUGGUAAAAAAAGGGACUUGAGUAUUGCAGGAAGCACAUUUAUAUGCAGCGGAAUAUGGUUCGUGUGUCACGAAAACAUCUGCCAAAUCUGCAGCCAUUGUUAAUGAAGUGUUUUAUGAAAUUGGUGAUAAUUUAAGGAAGAAAUCUAUAAUGAUUUGGGAAGAGAAGAUGGGAUUCCCUAUGGCUGCUCAGAAGUUGUUAUGAAAGAUGCUGCUAAAAUCUUGGAAAAGUUUAGUUGUCUCAUGAGGUAAGAAUAAUUUCAGCACAUCGAACUAUGGAUGUGAUGUUUCAUUAUGCAUCGUCUUCUCAUAAACAAGGCAUUCAAUGUAUCAUUGUUGGUACUGGUGGUGCAACUUACUUUCCUG